rnacentral:rRNA from 1 species
GACGUAGGGCGCGAGCGUUGUCCGGAUUUAUUGGGCGUAAAGAGCUCGUAGGCGGCUUGUCGCGUCGUUCGUGAAAACUUGGGGCUCAACCCCAAGCUUGCGGUCGAUACGGGCAGGCUAGAGUUCGGUAGGGGAGACUGGAAUUCCUGGUGUAGCAGUGAAAUGCGUAGAUAUCAGGAGGAACACCGAUGGCGAAGGCAGGUCUCUGGGCUGACACUGACGCUCAUGCACGAAAGCGUGGGGAGCAAACAGG